UGCACCUUAAGCACAAGCUUAAGGCAGCGUUUAGAUUCAUAUACGGCUUUCUUAAGAUAUACUUCAAAAUUUGAUCUUAUCUAAGACAUGUGGCUGGGAUAAAUAUUCAUAAUUUUAACUUAAGACAAGCUUGAGCAUUAGAUAUUUCUGAUGUAUUCAUAUUCAAAUAAGACGGUCUUAUAAAAUACCUUAACCUUACUUUUCAUCCAAAUAAGAGAGUUUUUUUCUAAGUCAUCAUUUCAGUUGACUUGAGAUAAUCUUAAAUGUAUUUACAGUGAAAAAAGUGGUUCAAAUAAUGAAUUUUUUGGGGUUAUAUAAUAUUGACAUCGACGAUAAUAAUGAUAUCAAUUUUGAUUUGGACGACGAUGAUUUAAUCAUACGUAUUCCAAAACGUUAUAUUCGAGAUGUGCAAGAUCCUUUUGAUUUUUGUUCAGACAUCGAAUUCAAGUAAAGAUAUAGAUUUGACAAGGAUAAUGUUAAAUUCGGAAUAUUACCUCUUAUAGAACAAAAUUUAACUAAAGUCAAUAAACGAGGAUUACCAAUCCCACCAAUUUUUCAAUUAUUAUGAUUGCGAUUUUAUGCAACUGCAAGUUUUCAGCUCAUUUUAGGUGAUACCAUGACAGUAUCACAACCAACAGUUUCCAGAAUAGUUUUUUGGGUGAGCGUUUUACUUGCAAGCGAAAUUCAUGAUUACAUUAAAAUGCCUCGAACUCAAGCAGCAAAAUUAGAAAACCAGAGACUUUUUGAACGUUUGGGAUUUGGUAAUGGAGCAAUUGGAAUACCCGGGGUUGAUGGAGCAAUUGAUUGCACUUAUAUCCGAUGAGUUCAUACAAUGUUUCAAAAUAUUAAUGAAAUCAACAGAAAUCGAAAGGGCUAUUUUUUUUCUCUGAAUGUACAAGCGAUUGUUGGCUCAUGGAUGGAAUUUUUAGAUAUUGUUCCAGAAUGGCCUGGUAGCGCUCAUGAUAGUCGAAUUUUUCAAAAUUCUCGAAUUUACAUGAGAUAUUCUGAACGUGAACUAACUGGGAUACUUGUCUACGUAUUCUUGAUAAUUUGUAAUCAUAAAUUAAAGUCACAAUUUUAUCUCAGUUGAAUUCCGAACUGUAAAUGUAAUAAAUUCAGAAUUGUAAAUAUAAUGGAUUCUAUAAAAAUUUAAA